GAAUUUUGAGUUUGGGAUUCUGCUCAGGAUGAACGCUGGCGGCGUGCCUAAUACAUGCAAGUCGAGCGAACGGACGAGAAGCUUGCUUCUCUGAUGUUAGCGGCGGACGGGUGAGUAACACGUGGAUAACCUACCUAUAAGACUGGGAUAACUUCGGGAAACCGGAGCUAAUACCGGAUAAUAUUUUGAACCGCAUGGUUCAAAAGUGAAAGACGGUCUUGCUGUCACUUAUAGAUGGAUCCGCGCUGCAUUAGCUAGUUGGUAAGGUAACGGCUUACCAAGGCAACGAUGCAUAGCCGACCUGAGAGGGUGAUCGGCCACACUGGAACUGAGACACGGUCCAGACUCCUACGGGAGGCAGCAGUAGGGAAUCUUCCGCAAUGGGCGAAAGCCUGACGGAGCAACGCCGCGUGAGUGAUGAAGGUCUUCGGAUCGUAAAACUCUGUUAUUAGGGAAGAACAUAUGUGUAAGUAACUGUGCACAUCUUGACGGUACCUAAUCAGAAAGCCACGGCUAACUACGUGCCAGCAGCCGCGGUAAUACGUAGGUGGCAAGCGUUAUCCGGAAUUAUUGGGCGUAAAGCGCGCGUAGGCGGUUUUUUAAGUCUGAUGUGAAAGCCCACGGCUCAACCGUGGAGGGUCAUUGGAAACUGGAAAACUUGAGUGCAGAAGAGGAAAGUGGAAUUCCAUGUGUAGCGGUGAAAUGCGCAGAGAUAUGGAGGAACACCAGUGGCGAAGGCGACUUUCUGGUCUGUAACUGACGCUGAUGUGCGAAAGCGUGGGGAUCAAACAGGAUUAGAUACCCUGGUAGUCCACGCCGUAAACGAUGAGUGCUAAGUGUUAGGGGGUUUCCGCCCCUUAGUGCUGCAGCUAACGCAUUAAGCACUCCGCCUGGGGAGUACGACCGCAAGGUUGAAACUCAAAGGAAUUGAC
rnacentral:rRNA from 1 species